rnacentral:rRNA from 1 species
UACAGAGGGGGCGAGCGUUGUUCGGAAUUACUGGGCGUAAAGGGCGCGUAGGCGGCCUGCUAAGUCGGACGUGAAAUCCCUCGGCUCAACCGGGGAACUGCGUCCGAUACUGGCGGGCCUGAAUCCGGGAGAGGAAUGCGGGAAUUCCAGGUGUAGCGGUGAAAUGCGUAGAUAUCUGGAGGAACACCGGUGGCGAAGGCGGCAUUCUGGACCGGCACUUGACGCUGAUGCGCGAAAGCCAGG